UCUUUCUCUGUUUGCAUUGGCUUCCACGCGCCUCUGGUAGCCUUUCUAAGAAAAAAAAAUCACGUCCCACGCCGUAUGACUUCCGUUUUAUUCCACUGCCCGUUUUGUUUUGAUUUCUUCCUACCUUUUUCGUUUUGCUCCCGCUGGCUUCUUCCCAUUCCAGCCUUGCUGACGCCUGGUUUGCAUUUUAAAUUCUUCCCACUUUUCCUUACUCCAUGUAGCCCAGGUAGCCCACAUGGGUUUGCUUUUCACGUCCUUUUGCCGCCACAUGGUUUUCGUUUGAAUUCCUUUCUCAUGCUGCCGCCUUGUGCACCCGCUUCCCAAUGCUUGCUCAUGUCACCACAUGCUGCUGCCGUAUUUGAAUUCCUUGCUCC
rnacentral:lncRNA from 1 species